rnacentral:rRNA from 1 species
GAUAAACGCUGACAGAAUGCUUAACACAUGCAAGUCGAUGGGGAAGUUUUAGCUUGCUAAAAUGAAAUCAUGGCGGACGGGUGAGUAACGCGUAAAGAACUUACCCUUUAGACUGGGAUAACACAAGGAAACUUGUGAUAAUACUAGAUAAGUUAGAUUUAGACAUCUAAAUCAAAUGAAAAGCUAUAUGCGCUAGAGGAGAGCUUUGCGUCCUAUUAGCUAGUUGGUAAGGUAAAGGCUUACCAAGGCGAUGAUAGGUAGCCGGCCUGAGAGGGUGAACGGCCACAAGGGGACUGAGAUACGGCCCUUACUCCUACGGGAGGCAGCAGUGGGGAAUAUUGGACAAUGGAGGAAACUCUGAUCCAGCAAUUCUGUGUGCACGAAGACGGUUUUCGGAUUGUAAAGUGCUUUUAGUUGGGAAGAAGCAAAUGACGGUACCAACAGAAGAAGCGACGGCUAAAUACGUGCCAGCAGCCGCGGUAAUACGUAUGUCGCAAGCGUUAUCCGGGAUUAUUGGGCUUAAAGGGCAUCUAGGCGGCAAAGCAAGUUGAAGGUGAAAAGCUGUGGCUCAACCAUAGUCUUGCCUACAAAACUGCUUAGCUAGAGUACUGGAAAGGUGGGUGGAACUACACGAGUAGAGGUGAAAUUCGUAGAUAUGUGUAGGAAUGCCGAUGAUGAAGAUAACUCACUGGACAGCAACUGACGCUGAAGUGCGAAAGCUAGGGGAGCAAACAGG